GCUCUAGGGGAUUUCUGCUGCUCUAUCUCACGCUUCCCCCGUUUGACACAGUAAGGCGGUUGUUGGCCUUUCUGCUAGCCUCAGGUUAGGACAGAACUUACUGAGAUCAUUAUAACCCUGCCAUCGACUGUGCCUAGCUCUCCCAAACCCUUUGGCAGGCAGAAAGACUGGGGUCCUCACCAAGAGUGGUUGUUCAGUGGGGCCAGUUUCAAAGACAUAUGUACGGCGGCAAAGUGGUUGAUUGUUUCUCUGUCCAUACGGUUCCCCCUCUUGGACAUGCCAGGCUUCUUUUCAGUGUAUUUGCUCAUCCAAACAACUCUAAUGUGCACUUUACAAAGAUUAUUUUCUCACAUGUCAAACAUGGUGAUUGUGGGUGAUUGCGGGUGAGUGUAGAGCACGGUCGUCCCUCAAUCGUAGGAUUAUUGGUUCAAUUCUAGGCCCUGCUAACCUGUGUGUUGAUGUGUCCUUGGGCAAGACACUUAACCCAACAUUGCUCCUGUAGCUGUGACUACAUCGUGUGAUCGAUGUGAACGCUAGUUACUGUUGUGAAUGGGUGAAUGAUGACAUGAAGUUUAAAAGCACUUUGAGUGGUCAGAAGACUAGAGAAGCACUGUACAAUCAAUUUGUCUUUUUGACCCCUGCAGUAUGGCCAUGGAUCUACCCAGUUAAGUAAUGUCCUAGCUGGAUUAGCUGGGGCCCCCUUCAUCUCCGCUAUGUUAUAAACAACAUUUCCGUUCUGGACUUCAUCAACACCAACAUCAACAGUGUCACUACACUUAAACGAAUCACCACCUUCCCCAACCAGAAGCCAUGGAUGAACAAAGAGGUCUGUCUACUGCUGAAGGUACGAGACACCGCUUUCAGAUCAGGUGAUGCUCAAGCCUACAAAAGCACACCAGCGUCUCUUCUUCCUGAGGAGACUGAAGAAGGCCCAUCUGUCUCCUCAGAUUCUAGAGAAUUUCUACCGCUGUACCAUAGAGAGCAUCCUUACAAACUGCAUCUCCAUAUGAUAUGGCAGUUGCUCUGUCGCGGACCGUAAAUCACUGCAGAGGGUGGUGAAAACUGCCCAACGCAUCACCGGUUCCUCACUCCCCACCAUUGAGGCUGUCCAGAGCAAGAGAUGUCUGCGGAGGGCACGCAGCAUCGAAAAGGACAGCUCUCACCCCAGCCACAGACUGUUUGGCCUACUCCCCUCUGGGAGGCGCUACAGGGUGCUCCGUUCCCGGACCAGCAGGUUCAGGAACAGCUUCAUCCCUGCGGCUGUCAUCUUACUGAACUCUGCCCCCCCUGAACUCUGAACUCUGCCCCCCACCCCCACAGACACAUCUCCCUCAGUGACUGUACUUCCCCCCUCCACCCUGGCUUGACUGCCACACACCCUCCUCCAACCACUGAACAUUUGCACUAGUUAUUGUAUAUCCAUUUCUUACUCUUCAUAUUGCACAACUAUUUCUUACUGUACAUAUCUAUUUAUUCACUUAUUACACCUUACAUAUGCACAUACUCUGCACUUUUUGCUAUUUUGCACUCUGGUUGGAUGUUAAACUGCAUUUCGUUGCCUCAGUACUUGUACCCUGUGCAAUGACAAUAAAGUUGAAUCUAAUCUAAUCUAAAAUCUAAAAAAGUAGGUAGGUUGCAACCUGUGAAUGGGGGGAAAUUUUUGCCCC
ensembl:lncRNA